GGUUGACCCUGUCAGGACUCAAAGUUAAAAGCAGCCAUCCCCAGAACCCCUGCCAGGAUGUCCCUGUGCACUCUCCUGCCCGGUCAGGAAGGUUCUGCCUUUCGGAAUAAGCGUCCAGAAAGAGUCCUCGCCUCUCGGAAAGGCCAACGGGACUUGAUUCUACCGGAGAAGGCCUAGAACCGGAGCCAGUCGUCUUGCGAGGUGACGUCCGGGAAAGGACGGGUGAGCGGGGUCAGGAAGUCGAAAGUGAGUUUCCACCAAGUGAGUCCGCGGCCUCCCUCUUCUAAAGGGUGACUGACUCACCAGAGGUCUUCAAACAAAGGGAAAUACUUCCGCAUUUCGUCGAAUUUAUGAUGCAGUCAAGUACCAGAUGCACCGUUUUUUAAUGUAUCACUGAGAAAAAAAAGUUGCCAAGUAAACUGACAUGCCAUCAAUGCUACAUUGGAUAAGGGGCUUCUACUACAUUAUCCACUCUUGAUGGAGGAGGAGACUCAAGACGAAAGCAGCGAGUGCUCUGUGGGUUACAAGAAAAGCCCAGACUACAUCCCAGGAUGCUGAUGUAGAAUCACAGGAUUGCAGAAAUUCAGAACUGAGAGGGACCUAAGCAAUCACACAGGCUGAUGGUUUCCAAGCCAGGUUCCAUGGUGCCUUAUUCACAGCAGGUAUCCUAGGGGCUGCCGAGGAGGCAGGACUCUGUGCCCCUGUCACUUAGCCAAACCAGCUCUGUUUUUAUGUUUUGUACACUGGAGUUCUGAGAUUUACUUUUUCAAAAAGUGUUCUUCUAAGGGGAAUAAAAGCCUAUAAGCCAC